CAGAGAGAACUGAUGAUUUGAAAGACGAUCUCUUCCGGCGUAUCUUCUUCUUUAAUCCACCACAACAACUUCGAUUCUCGACAACAACUUCUCCAUGCAUGGUAUUCAUCUUAUCGUUUGAUCAAGUUCCAUGUGCUCCCGGACUUUGACGAGGGAAAACGCAGCUGUUGGAGAAAGCUAUAGCGUCACAACAACAGAAGGAAAAGAAAACCUGUAGACAAAGGAGGAGUUGCUUCAAAACAACAGCAAGUGAACAGGUUCACAGGAUUGGUCAAGCUUUGAAGAUAGGGCCUGCGGGCCGACCCGCAUAACCGCUGCUAUAGUGCAGGUCGGAAUUGGUCAUAGGGUUCAGGGCCCGCGUCCCGCGGCGGUACGACCCGCAAAGACCCAACUGAAAAUGGUACCACGGCGGGGCGGGACAAAUGGGUUGCGGGUUAUCCCAAUUGCUAUCUCUAGUACGUCCUAUCCAGCGAUAUAAUUUGGAUGGGAAAAUAAAUUACUCUGGUUUCAGCUAACCAAUCAGGUGAAAAAGUAUUUUUACUAUUUUUAUUCAUUUACGCUGGUUACUGCUCAAAAUGUAUGUACUUUUAUUCCUCAUGAUUUGUAAAGUAGGAAGUGUUACGCUAGAUUACUCUGAGUUUUGUUUUUCUUUUCCCUUCAUUUUCCACCUUUUUACU